UCCGACUUAACGUCGGCAGUCCCUUUAGAGUGCCCAACUGAAUGCUGGCAACUAAAGGCAAGGGUUGCGCUCGUUGCGGGACUUAACCCAACAUCUCACGACACGAGCUGACGACAGCCAUGCAGCACCUGUCACCGGUGCCCCGAAGGGAAGCCAUAUCUCUAUGGCGGUCACCGGGAUGUCAAACCCAGGUAAGGUUCUUCGCGUUGCAUCGAAUUAAACCACAUGCUCCACCGCUUGUGCGGGCCCCCGUCAAUUUCUUUGAGUUUUAACCUUGCGGCCGUACUCCCCAGGCGGGAUACUUAACGCGUUAGCUUCGGCACUGAAGGGGUCAAUACCUCCAACACCAAGUAUCCAUCGUUUACGGCGUGGACUAC
rnacentral:misc_RNA from 1 species